AACUCAUGGUAUUAAUAGACUCUACUUUUAUUAAAGAGAUGAUACAUAAUGUGGUCUAAAUGUAUUGUAUUCUCCCUAACAUGACCGACCAAAUAACACAAUAAUCACAUGCCAUUUGUCUUCAAUCCGCGUGAGGGGCGACGAAUAUGUAACGUGUACCAAGCACCAAAUCCAAAAAUUUCUCCAUAAUUAAGGUUUUGCGCGGAUGGUUCAACUAAAUUUUAAGUCUUGGGGUCAACUUUAAGUUUUGGUUCAAUUUUUCGUACCAAAUUGUGAACAACCUUCACCUGUAAGUGUGACAGAAAACACAAAGAAUAUAAGGUGAGAACGAAUGGUAUAAGUAAACUACUCUUAUUAUGACAUAAAGCAAGACUGGAUUAAAAUUCUAGGAUUGGAUUGGUCAGGACCAGUCAAGAAUCCUGUCCAUGAUUUGGUGCAACACCAUUCUGGACCAAACUAUAAAUAAAUAAAUAAAUUUCGAAAAUUAUCAAAAAAAUCUUCAGAACUUUGAAAGAGGGGAAGAUUCUCAUAAACCCAAUCUAGGAGAUGCAAAGAUUCCAUAACCCAGGAGAUGCAAAGAUUCUCAUAAACCCAGUCUAUCAGAAUAUUGAAUUUCACACAAAAAUCGUCAGAUUAAUAUGAAGAUUUUCACAGACAAGGAGAGAAAAAAUCAAAGAUAGGAGAAGAUAGAGGAUAAAGAAUAGAAGAGAGGUGCGAGAAUAGAGAAGAAGCAAAUCACGCACGAACGAGAGGUUGAGGAAGACGAACGCGAGUUGAGGAACCCGAACAGAUAACGAGCCAGAGGUUGAGAAACCCGCUGUUAUUAUAAAGACUAACGUCCAAGAUCUAUAUCCAGUCUGUGGUGUGGAUCUAUAUCAAAUAUGUGCGAAUUUAUUCGUCAUCCUCCCUUGGUUUGAUGGGGGCUGAUUCAAGCGGUGGUGGUGAUAGGGCAUUAUGUUUUGUUUGUUUCCGUGAGAUUGUGGAAUUUCUCUUUUCUUGGGAGAGUUUUUAUUUCGUUAUUUAUGUUGAUGUGUCUUACCAAAAACAUGUUUUACUUUAAAGUUAAGCAGUUCGUGUUUGGUAAAAAAAAAAAAUCUCAAUUAUUAUAAAAGUAGUGACAUUUUGACAGC
rnacentral:lncRNA from 1 species